GUUGCCCUUGUUUUUUGUUGUUGUUGUUGUUGUUGUUAUUAAAAGAGAAGAUUAACAUAGCCUCUGCACAAGGAUAACACGCAAAUUUGUGAAGCAUUCCACAUUUAG
rfam:Erinaceus europaeus unplaced genomic scaffold scaffold00874, whole genome shotgun sequence